CGCGGCGCAUUCUGGGAACUGUGGUGCCGGCCAGCGCGCGCUCGGCUCCCGGCAGCGUCCGCCCGGCGGUGAGAUCCAGUUCCAAGGCUCCAGCCAUCCUGGAUCUCACUAGAGGCCUGCUGCCCAAUGGCCGUCCCCCAGAACCCCUUGAGCCCGGUGCCCUGGGAGCAGGAUGGCUUUCUUCGAGUGAAGGUGGAGGAUGCUGAGGCCAGCUUCCCCCAGGUCCAGGAAUCUAACUCUGGUCACACCUCCCACCCGCUUCCGGCACUUCUGCUUUAAGGAGGCCUCCAACCCAUAGGAGGCCCUGGCCCGGCCGCGUGAACUCUGCCACAAGUGGCUGAGGCCCAAGAUGCACUCCAAGGAACAGAUGCUGGAGCUGCAGGUGCUGGAGCUGUUCCUGGGCGCGCUGCCCCCCAAGAUCCAGGCCUGGGUGGGGGCCCAGUGCCCCAAGAGUAGCAAGGAGGCUGCUGUGCUGGUGGAGGAUCUGACUCAGCUGCUGGACAAGAGAGGUGAGAGGCGAGUGGCUGGUGCUCCCAGCACACGGGGUAAAGCCUGCCCCGGAACGUGGGAAGCUGGUUUGGACUUGGGCCCACUCACCCGAACCCCCACACACCAUGCUGAGCAGGUCUGUUUUGAUUGCCAGGGACCAAAAACCCAGGCCACACUGACGGAAGCCAUGUAGGGAGGUUUUACGGCCAUAGAUCCAGAAGCUCAGUUGGUGGCAUCAGGACGCUGAUUUGUUUCUCAGUUGAGUUUUCCUGUUAGCUUCAUUCUUUUUUUUUUUUUUCAGAGACGUCUCUUUUAAGUUUUAAAUUAAAAGUUCACCCUGGUGAGAUGAUUGGUUGGGGCACAAAAUCCAAAGGCAAGCUCUCCUCUCUGUCGCCCGCAGACACAGUGGAAGAGGCAGCGUGGCUGCAGGGUCAAGCCCUCGCCAGCUGAUCCUGGGCCUUUGACCCGAGCUGGCUCUUUAGUCCCACACAAGCCCUGCACACCUAGCUGGAGACGGGGUGACACCAGGAGAGGUGACAAGAGCUGGAGAGUGACAGAGGAGCCAACUGCUAGUGGGGUGGGGGGAGCCUCACAGUGGCAAAAAGGCCCCCACCUUCAGCCACCGGCACCUCUGGGAGCCCUUCCUGCAACCCCCACUUGGAGUGGAGCGGUGGUCGUCCUUCUCCGGGUUCCAGAAGGUGUGGCCUUUGAAAGGAUGCAGCUAGCGGACCACACAAGAUCGUGCUACCUGGCUUUCCAGCACCUGCCCUGGGGCUGGGGGGCAGGGAGGGGUGCUGGGGGGGGCCGGAUUCCGACCUUCCCCGCCCACUGGCACCCUGUCAGCCAGCCCCAUACUCACAUACACUAGUUGUUUUUAUAUAUGCAUAUAUAUUAUGGUUGUAUAUUAAAAAGAGAAAAAC